GGGCUCCAGCAGGGAGUCUGUGUAGCCCAGGCCCUGUUUUCUCAGUGUCCCCGCCAGGGCUGGUGGCAAAGCCAGGCUGAGACAAGAAGCGGGGGAGCUUGGUGGUGAGCGGGCUGGGGCUGUGGGACACCCCCUAGAGCCGGGCCACGGUGAGGGCUGGCCCACACCCACUGCGGGACGUCCGUCCUCCUGGCCUGGGUCUGCCGGGGUGGCCGUGGCUCUUUCCCCGGGAUGCUCAGCCCGCUGUCCUGUGUCCCCCUCGAGAUCACCUGCCUCGCAAAAGCCGGGAGGUGCCCGUCGGCCUUUCCCACGGCCACUGAGGGUGGAUAAGAAGGAAGGCGGUCUGACACCCGCUUCUCCUGGUGCCUCCCUGGGGUGGCAGGUGCGAUGAAAGCCCAGUGGGCCUGGACGGUAGCUGCUUACAAGGCCGCAGAGAGCUGGACGCCGCCCAGCUGGCCCCCAGCACCUGUGUUUCCUACCUGUGUCCUUCCUUUGUGUUUCCAUCUUGCCCCUCAGGCAGCUCCUCCCUGGGACUCGGGUCUGAGAAGGUCGAUGAUGCAGGAAGGUGAUAAGUCAGCUGGCUGCCAUCGGGGGACCCUGGAGCCACCGAGAACACAGGCAGGCCAGCCGGGCAUGUCUUGUCACCACCCCCUCCUGCCCUCCUUCCUGGCCCUGAGAGGGGUACAGCCACGCAGGAAGCCUGCCCUUGGAGGAAGGGGCUCUGUGAGCAAGGAUCAGGUGUACGUGAGGGAUGGUAGCCGGCUUCUCCGCACUCACGGCUCAGAACACACCGCUGCCCCGGGCCCCGGAGCCAGGUGAGAAAGCCCGCCCAGGCCCCGGUCCCGCCCUGGCCGCCCUGGCUGCGGCAGCCACAGGACAGGCGGUGUCUUUGCUGGUGUCUGUGGGCUGGAGGGGAGGGGCGGCUGCUGGUCCUGCUGAGGGAGAACCUGGGACUGCCUUCCCAGGAGGGGAGUGAAGCGGCAUCGCCUAGGAAGGUGACCUUGCUUGGUGACCUUGUGAGCACUGGCUUCUGAGCCGGAUUCCCGCCCGUGGCUCUGUGUCCAGACAGGCAUGGCUCUUCCAUGCCCAACAGUCCCUGUCUUUGCUACAGCAGGAAAGGAAGCUACAAAAUCCCCCAGGAGGUUCCGUUCUCCGGUUCCCAUGUCUGCCCGGCACCUGCAGGGCCUCCGGUGUCCACUCGGAUCCUCUCAGGAGGGGGCAUCCUCGACCGAGUCCUCUGGACUCAGAUACUGAGUGAACUGAUCUGAGCCCUGUCUUGAAUCAUCAAGGCCACGGCUCCUCCAGGGCAGGCCUGGGCUCCACAUUCCCCCAAACAGGAGAAAGAGGGUGACAGGAAGGUGGGUGUGGGAGACCUAGGGGACACCACCUCUUCCAGAGCCGUCACCUCGUGCUUACAGCUGGCUGCCAUGGGACGCCACGGGCAGGGGGCUGUCUGGAGGCGGGAUCUGUGGAGGAAGCCCCUGUGCGUGGGUGAGGGGAGGGCGCACCGUGCACAAGUGCGGAUCCACCUGCAGGAAGUGCUGUGUCAGGUCCUCAGCUGGGCAACGGGGGGGAGGGUAUCUGCCGGUCCUUUGGCCUCUGCCUCUUUGCUCUGUCUGCCCAGGUGAUGAGAACCCAGUGGGCUCUGCUUGAAUGGAGUCCACUUUCAACUGUUCUUUUGCGAGCAGCUUCUCCUCGGCAUCUUCCCUGAGAUUUGAAUCCACAGAGAGUAGAUUCAGGAAAACAAAACCUCCACACUUUUACCAGCUGGCCAGGAGGGAGGCCACCCCACUCAGAGUCCUGCCUGUCUAGGGGUUGGGCGGGACCAUGGAAAAUAACAGUAACAGCCAUACGUGGGAGCCACGGGCCAGGCACCGAGCAUGGCCUUUCACAACAAGCCUAUGGAACACAGACUGUCUUAUCCCCACUUUAUAGAUGGGAUAACUGAGUCUCCCAGGUAAGAAAUUUGGUCCAGAGCCCACCACCAGCUAGUGGCAGAGAGAGCUGGCUUUGAACCAGGUCCUGUAGGCUCCAGGGCUCAGGUCCUGAGCCCCUUCCAGCCUGGGGGAAGGCAUCCUCAGGAUGCGCUCUGCCCUUGGGUCCACGACAAGAGGCUGGACCAUCCUCACCUCCAACUCCGUCUGUCCUACAGGUCCCUCUAACUCUUGGGCCCAGCUCUGGGGUUCUGCUUCUCGCCCUUGACCUGCAGCUGUGGUGUCCUUCACAUCCCCAGAUUGGUCUCCCCUUUGUCUGUAACCCGUGAAAUCCCAUUUUCUGAUUCUUCCAGGGCCUCCAAGGAUGCGACUGUCAGGACUGGUCCUCCCUCCCCCCACUUCUCCGCCUCCGCCCCUGAAGGAUUCCUGAAUGUUCUCUCCUCUGCGCUUGUCUCCCCGCCGCACAGCAGAGAUAGAGUGGACAUCCGGGUUGUUUCUGUCUUUUGGUGAUUGUGAAUAAUGCUGCUAUGAAGACGCAUGUGCAAAUAUCUUUGCAAGACCCUGCUUUCAUUCCUCAGGUAAAUACCCAGAAGCAGAGUUGCUGGAUAAGAUGGAACUGCCGUCCUGUUUUCCAGUCUUCCCGUCUUUUACCUUAUGUGGAAUCGUUCAGUACGUGUGUGUGUAUGGCUUCUUCCAUGUGACAUUAUAUUCAUGAGAUUCAUCCUGGUUGUCACACGCAGUGGCAGACUGUUUCUUUGCACUGCUUUGUUGUGUGCCAUUGUACAAACACACAACAAUUUAUCCAUUGAAUGGCUCGUGGACACUAGGCUGUCUCCAGUUUGGGGCUGUUACGAAUAGCGCCACCUGCACGUCAUAGCCCGUGCCUGGGGAGACCUGUGCAGAGCUGAUGGGUCCAGGGUAUGCAUGUGCCUUAACUGGAUUUUUUAAAAUAAAUUUAUU